AACGAACGCUGGCGGCAUGCCUAACACAUGCAAGUCGAACGCUUUAGGGGCUUCGGUCCCUAAGGAGUGGCGCACGGGUGAGUAGCGCGUGGGAACCUGCCCUGUUGUGGGGGAUAACCGAGGGAAACUUCGGCUAAUACCGCAUACGCCCGCGGAUUUUGGUCCGCGGGGAAAGAUUUAUCGCAGCAGGAGGGGCCCGCGUCCGAUUAGCUGGUUGGUGGGGUAACGGCCCACCAAGGCGAUGAUCGGUAGCUGGUCUGAGAGGAUGAUCAGCCACACUGGGACUGAGACACGGCCCAGACUCCUACGGGAGGCAGCAGUGGGGAAUAUUGGACAAUGGGCGCAAGCCUGAUCCAGCAAUGCCGCGUGAGUGAUGAAGGCCUUCGGGUUGUAAAGUUCUUUCGCCCGCGACGAUGAUGACGGUAGCGGGAGGAGAAGCCCCGGCUAACUUCGUGCCAGCCGCCGCGGUAAUAC
rnacentral:rRNA from 1 species